rnacentral:rRNA from 1 species
CACGUAGGGCGCGAGCGUUGUCCGGAAUUAUUGGGCGUAAAGAGCUCGUAGGCGGCCUGUUGCGUCCGCUGUGAAAGCCCGGGGCUUAACCCCGGGUCGGCAGUGGAUACGGGCAGGCUAGAGGUAGGUAGGGGAGAAUGGAAUUCCCGGUGUAGCGGUGAAAUGCGCAGAUAUCGGGAGGAACACCGGUGGCGAAGGCGGUCUCUGGCCUUACCUGACGCUGAGGAGCGAAAGCGUGGGAGCGAACAGG